rnacentral:tRNA from 1 species
GGCACUAAAUCACAUUUGUGAAUUGAGUUGAUACCUCAAAGGAAAAAGUUUUUUGCUUUUUAGUGUUA